GACGAACGCUGGCGGCGUGCUUAACACAUGCAAGUCGAACGGAAAGGCCCUGCUUUUGUGGGGUGCUCGAGUGGCGAACGGGUGAGUAACACGUGAGUAACCUGCCCUUGACUUUGGGAUAACUUCAGGAAACUGGGGCUAAUACCGGAUAGGAGCUCCUGCUUCAUGGUGGGGGUUGGAAAGUUUCGGCGGUUGGGGAUGGACUCGCGGCUUAUCAGCUUGUUGGUGGGGUAGUGGCUUACCAAGGCUUUGACGGGUAGCCGGCCUGAGAGGGUGACCGGCCACAUUGGGACUGAGAUACGGCCCAGACUCCUACGGGAGGCAGCAGUGGGGAAUAUUGCACAAUGGGCGGAAGCCUGAUGCAGCAACGCCGCGUGCGGGAUGACGGCCUUCGGGUUGUAACCCGCUUUCGCCUGUGACGAAGCGUGAGUGACGGUAAUGGGUAAAGAAGCACCGGCUAACUACGUG
rnacentral:rRNA from 1 species